rnacentral:rRNA from 1 species
AACGAACGCUGGCGGCAUGCCUAACACAUGCAAGUCGAACGAGACCUUCGGGGCUAGUGGCGCACGGGUGCGUAACGCGUGGGAACCUGCCCUUAGGUUCGGAAUAACUCCCCGAAAGGGGUGCUAAUACCGGAUAAUGUCUUCGGACCAAAGAUUUAUCGCCUUUGGAUGGGCCCGCGUUGGAUUAGCUAGUUGGUAGGGUAAAAGCCUACCAAGGCGACGAUCCAUAGCUGGUCUGAGAGGAUGAUCAGCCACACUGGGACUGAGACACGGCCCAGACUCCUACGGGAGGCAGCAGUGGGGAAUAUUGGACAAUGGGCGAAAGCCUGAUCCAGCAAUGCCGCGUGAAUGAUGAAGGCCUUAGGGUUGUAAAGCUCUUUUACCCGGGAUGAUAAUGACAGUACCGGGAGAAUAAGCUCCGGCUAACUCCGUG